GAUGAAGAACGCAGCGAAAUGCGAUAAGUAAUGUGAAAUGCAGAGUUCAGUGAAUCAUCGAAUCUUUGAACGCACAUUGCGCCCGUCAGUAUUCUGACGGGCAUGCCUGUCCGAGCGUCAUUUCAACCCUCAAGCACUGCUUGGCGUUGGCGGAUUGCGUGCCCUCGCGGCGCUGCAACCGCCCAAAUACAGUGGCGGUCCCGCUGCGGCUCCCUUUGCGUAGUAACUCACCUCGCACUGGACCGGGCGGCGGCCUGCCGUAAAACCCCAACUCACGAAAUGUUGACCUCGGAUCAGGUAGGAAUACCCGCUGAACUUAAGCAUAUCAAUAAGCGGAGGA
rnacentral:misc_RNA from 1 species